rnacentral:lncRNA from 1 species
UUACGGAGGGAAGAGGCUCAGCUCAGAUGCUGGCAAAGGAGCAUCCAGCCACAGAGACCAGAGAACACCUUCCUUUUUGCUGCCUCGUCUCCAUCCUUUCUAGAGGGUUUUAUAUUUGCACUCUCUCUUUUAAAAUUUUGUUUCUUUGACUUUUCCCCACCUCUGCUCUGGUUUUAUGAGGGCUUUGUUAAGUCUUAGACGGGAAAGAGACUGAGUGAGGGAAAGAAAGAGGCAAAGUGGAAAGGACCACAAAUUGGCAAAGCCUGUUCUGCUUUUGCUGUGGAUGAAAGUCCUCUGUUUGUAAAGCCCUCUCGGCGUGAGCAGCACGCGCACCCUCCAGAGUAGCCGGACCCUGCACCGCACCUCGGCGUGGCCACCAUGGUCGCCAGAGUUCAGCCUGAUCGGAAACAGUUGCCGCUAGUCCUACUGAGAUUGCUCUGCCUUCUUCCCACAGGACUGCCUGUUCGCAGCGUGGAUUUUAACCGAGGCACCGACAACAUCACCGUGAGGCAGGGGGACACGGCCAUCCUCAGAGAGAUCAGGAGCAGAGAAAGAAGACAGUGAAGCUGAAAAUUAAAACCUAUCCCAGUUUCUGGGCCACCACUUUGUAAGAAAGAAUUCCUGGGCCAGUGAUCAGAUCUGAGCCACAUUUGCAACCUACUCCAGAGCUGUGGCAACAUCAGAUCCUUAACCAACUGUGCCAGGGCAGAGAUUGAACCUGCGUCCCAGUGCUCCGAAGACACCAUCGAUCCCAUUGCGCCACAGUGGAAGCUCCUACAGAGAUAUUUAAAGUAUACUCAAUACAUUAACUUUUCUUAUCUUCGAGUGAGAUAAUAUUCUGAGAUAUUAAGCCUAGUAACUGGGUAUUAAAAGAUUAUUCAUUUAUUUUUGUUUGUUUUUAUUAAGACAGACAUGAAUGAUCUGAAAGAGUUAGGUCAUUUCCCCAAAUUGAGUAUCCUAUUUCCAGAUGUUAGAUUUGUCUUUUAUUCUAUGAAUAUCUCUUGCAAACUUGUAAGAAAGAGUACUAUCUCCAUUAUAGAUAUGACAGAUCAUUGCUAUAAAUUUAAGUCACUCUAUAUAUGAUACAAAUCAGGUCAUCCAGAGAAUAGAGAAUAAAUUACAAGACCUCUGAACACUUGCUUAGAGCCCUGUCCAUGUGAUUAUGUGGGUCUUUACGUCCUGUGUGCCCUGGGUUCAGACCCUGGGGAUCUGUGGCUGAGCUUGCUCAUUUGCUCUCUGAUGGCUUUGCAUGAUCAAGGGGAUGGAUGACUGAGGGCUGCUACACAGCCAGCCUGCUUUUUCUCUUCACCUCUGUGCUAAAUGAAUGUGGUCCAAGUGUGCCUUAGACAUAGGAGCCUAAAUAAUGGCAUUGUGCUUCCUUGUGGAGCUCAGUAAUAUUUACUGAGCCCAACAGCUUCAUUUCUCCAGUCCCUGCUGCAUUAAUGGCUGGCUUCAGGGUGGGAGGUGAGAAGGGAGGGUAUGAAGAAUUACUGAGAAGGACACAGGCGACACAGUUAACAGAUGGCCUUAUUAGAGACACUUUCCUGGGCCUAAGUGAAGCCUCUUUGUCUGAGUUGGCAAGAAGUGGGUCAUUUUCCUCAGCUGUCGGGCUCAGGGCUGACGUGACUUGUGCCUGUAGUUGCAGCAAGCUCUUGGUUUCCCCAAUGACUUUUGGUUUUCUGAGAUAUUCUAAUGGCCCAGUCUCUCUAGGCCUUCCCAGAGCAGAACUGGACUUCUUCACAGACCAUUUAGUUCUUUUCCAAGCUAUAGGCUGCUUCGUAGCACUGACUGCCUCAUGUACAACAAGCCACAGAGGAAGUCUCCGAAUCUCCACCCCUAAGAUUGGGCCAGUGGUCUAGUGGCCCCAGAUACCUGGAGAGCAAGAGAAAUAUCACAGUCUCAAAACACACAUGCACUAAAAAACAUCUGUAAGUAGAAUAAAGAGCAGGCUCAACUCAUAUGUAUUGCUGUUAUUUCCCAAUGUAACUACUGUAUGUUAUGGUGACUGAAAUUCAAGUUCAUUUGAAAUAUUUCUGAAUUUAUGGCAACUUCCCAUCACUACACUUUCUCAGUCAAAUGUAUAUUGAAAGAAUGACUGUGGUCCUAUGUGGAUCUGCAGAAUCUUUUCAUAAUACAGUGUUUUCAUAAUAUUUGCUAAGAAUUUGCUCUCCAGUAAUACUGCACCCUUUAGGUGACAUGCUGUCUCCUGCAGGCUCCUUGUAGCCUAUGGCCUUUUAGCAUGUCAGUAGUAGCAAUACUUCCCCACCCACUGCUGUUAUUUGGGAAGACUUCUGUCAUUGUAUUUCUGCUUUUUCUGUUCCACCAGUUAAGGGCUUCCAGGUGUCAGAAUACUUGGAUAGUCAAAACAUGAGCCAAUUCUAUGUCUACUACUUGGCAAGACUCUGUGCUCUUAGGUAUUUGAAUAAGGCUGCAUUAACCUGACACUCUCACUGGUUAUGAGAGGGAUUGUGUAGACACAGGUCGUUGUAGAAGUCCCAGUAAAGGAUCACAGAUAGGGGACUUUGGGAGAUCAUUGUAAGUUAAUAAAUUGCUCAAAAAAGCCAUCAGAACAAGGCAGGCUUUCUUGAUUAGUGGAAGAGCGAGAAUUGCCUCAGGUCGUCGGGUGGGGGAUGGGAUGAUGCCUGUAUUCACAUUCAGACUUAAGGCAGGAGUUUGAGGACUGACCUUCUGCUGAUUUGAAUAUGCACCUUACUGGAGCUAGUAAAGGAAGAAGUGGUCUUUUCCGCCCACUCCCCUUGUAUGAUAAAACUGUAGCCCACUAGAUCAUCGGGAGGGUAUACAUCUUCCAUCUCUGCUCCCUUGCCCCUCUCAUAAGCAUUCUGACUUAAUCUGUUUCUUGCCUAUCACUUUGUCACUCACUGAAUUCCUUCUGUGUGGAGACAUGAAGAACCGGAACCUCAGUGAGUCCAGACAGGGUGAGUGAUUCUAAUUUAAAACUGUGGGUUUAGGUCCCAAUCUGGGUUUAGGCUGCGUUCAAGUCCUGGUACAUGGGUUCAAGUCCCAAUCUGGGUUUAGGCUGGGUUCAAACCCCAGCAUGUGGGUUCAAGUCCCAGUUGUGUUCUGGCUAGGUUCAGGCUGUUAGUGCUGUCAGUUUCAGUUACAAUCAAAAAAAAAAAAAAAAAAAAAA